rnacentral:rRNA from 1 species
CAGGGAAUAUUAGAAAUGGACGAAAGUCUGAUCUAGCAACACCGCGUGUGCGAUGAAGGCCUUCGGGUUGUAAAGCACUUUUUGGAAGGAUUAGGAAGGAAUGUACUUCCAGAAUAAGUCUCGGCUAACUACGUGCCAGCAGCCGCGGUAACACGUAGGAGGCGAACGUUAUCCGGAUUUACUGGGCGUAAAGCGCGUGUAGGUGGUUCUGUAAGUAGAGCGUGAAAGCUCCUGCUCAACUGGGAGAGGCCGUUCUAAACUACAGAGCUAGAGGAUGGUAGAGGGAGGUGGAAUUCCGGGUGUAGCGGUGGAAUGCGCAGAUAUCCGGAGGAACACCAGUGGCGAAGGCGGCCUCCUGGACCAUUCCUGACACUCAGACGCGAAAGCUAGGGUAGCAAACGG